GUGCAUGCAGCCCCUGUCACGUACCCCUUGCUUGACUGAAUCAAUCACGACCCUUUCAUGUAAAAUCUUUAGUGUUGUGAGCCCUUAAAUGGGACAGAAACUGUGCACUCAGGGAGCUUGGAUUUUAAGGCAGUAGCUUGCCGAUGCUACCAGCUGAAUAAAGCCCUUCCUUCUACAACUCGAUGUCUGAGAAGUUUUGUCUGCAGCUCGUCCUGCUACAUUUCUUGGUUCCCUGACCGGGAAGUGAGGUAAUUGACGGACUGCCGAGGCAGCACCUUAGGCGGCUUAGACGUGCCCUGUGGAGCAUCUCUGCGGGGGACUCCAGCCAGCCUGAGUGACGCGAUCCAAACAGCGCUCCUGGGUAGGAAAAUGCCCCAGUGGGAUGCCUCACCAGAGCAGCGCUUGGCAGGCCCCCGCGGAGGAUAAACACAGUGGCUGAACACCAGGAAGGAACUGGCACUUGGAGUCCAGACAUCUGAAACUUGAAAGAAGACUGACUGAGAUGUGUUGGCGGGCUUCUCAAGAUCCCUAUCGAUGGCAGAAUGCUGACAUGAGUUGCCCAUAGUCCAGCACCUAAAACUGAUGGCUGCUAUUCAAAAGGUCCUCCAUAAAUAUGUGAAACCCUGGGAAGUCAGGACUGUAUGGAAGAAAGGGCGAUGAAUUCUAAUCAUGAAAGGUUUCCCAAUGUAGCAGAUGACUCUAGCGGCUCCAGCUUCAGCAUCAUCUUAAGUUCAAGUGAAAAGGAAAAGAGAAUCUCUUUUUCUUCAAACAAUUUCAAACUAAAAUCUUGAGUCUGACUUUUCCUGGCCAGAAUUAAGCUUGUACUUAUCCCUGAAAAAUCAUCAAUGCUACAGUGAUGAAUUUACCAAUUGAGGCAGAAUUUAGGUCACAUGACGCUCCAAAGCCUCUUCAAAACCGCAUGACUCAGAGUGAGGCAGAAGUAUUUGGGAUAUUUGCAACAGGAGAAGGGUAAAUGAAUGGAGAGUGCCAAAACAACUUAUGUCAAUUAUACAAUUAUAAAUACAACCAAAAUAAAGUAUGGAAAUCAGUAUUUUCACCUAUCUUAACAGAGUGAAAGAUUUAUUCUGUUGAAUAUUUGCCAUAUUUCACUUUCCACAUUCAGCACUCUGCAAUAUUUAAAGAAGAAAAUAAGUCUCCAUAUACUGAAUAAAGACAUAUCAAAAUUUGUGUGACAUCAUAUUCCUUAGUUACAUUUUUUGUUCAUUCAUUUGUGUGUUUGUUUAUGUCACCCACACUAGAUCAUGGUGGUGUGAACAUGGUUCACUACAGCCUCAACAUCCUGGGCCCAAGCAAUCCUCCCACCUCAGCCUCCUGUGUAGCUAAGACCACAGGUGGGCACCACCAUGCCCAGCUACCUUUUAAUUUUUUGUAGAUAUGGGGGUCUCACUUUGUUGCCCAGGCUGGUCUCGAACUCCUGGGCUCAAGCUAUCCCCACAACACUUUGGUUUGGCCUCCCAAAGUGUCGGGAUUACAGGUGCGAGCCAGUGCACUCAGCCUUACAUUUUUUAAUAAAUGAAUUUAAACAAAGAAUAGAAACAUAUUUUUAAACACACCAAUUAACAAACCAAAGUGUAUUGCAAAUUAUUGGAAGGGACAGCAGAGUGAAAAAAUGUUAUCCCACCUGCAGGAGGUGGAAAAGGUGAUAAUAUGAAACAAAUAUUUCCACCUAUCCUAAUAGAGUAAAAGAUUUAUUCUGCUGGAUAUUUUCUGUAUUUUACCUACCUUCCACAUUCAGCACUCUGCACUCUCUUGCCCAACUAUUCCUUUUAAUUUUCCCAUAAUACAACUUUUUAAUAUUUUAUGUAAUAUAUGUAUUUAUUUCUUUCUUUUACUAACUGUGUUUCCUACUGGAAUGUAAGCUUCAAAAAUUCAGAGAUCUUUGUCCUUGUUGCUGAUAUAGCCUACUGUCUAAAAAAAACUUCAGAUAUUUAAUUUUUUUAACUUUUAAGUUCAGGGGUACAAGUGCAAGUUUGUUACAUAGAUAAACAUGUGUCAUGGGGGUUUCUUGUGCAUAUCAUUUAAUCACUCAGGUAUUAAGCUUAGUACCCAUUAGUUAUUUUUUUCUGAUCUUCUCUCUCCUCCUAUCCUUCACUCUUCAAUAGGCCCCAGUGUGUGUUAUUCUCCUCUAUGGGUCCAUAUGUUCUCAUCAUUUAGCUCCCACUUAUAAGUGAGAGCAUGCAGUGUUUGGUUUUCUGUUUCUGUCAGUUUGCUAGGGAUAAUGGCCUCCAGCUCCAACCAUGUUCCUGCAAAGGACAUGAUCUCAUUUUUUUUAUGGCUGCAUGGUAGUCCAUGGUGUAUAUAUACCACAUUUUCUUUAUCCAGUCUAUCAUUGAUGGGCAUUUAUAUUGAUUUCAUGUCUUUGAGAUUGUAAAUAGUGCUGCAGUGAACAUAUGUGUGUAUGUGUCUUUAUAAUAUAAUGAUUUAUGUUCCUUUGGGUAUAUACCCAGCAAUGGGAUUGCUGGGUCAAAUGGUUUUUCUGUCUUUAGGUCUUUGAGGAAUUGCCACACUGUCUUCCACCAUCUUUAUUUCUGCCUUCGUUUCGUUAUGUACCAGUAGUCAUUCAGGAGCAGGUUAUUCAGUUUCCAUGUAGUUGAUCAGUUUUGAGUGAGUUUCUUAAUCCUGAGUUCUAGUUUGAUUGCACUGUGGU
rnacentral:lncRNA from 10 species